rnacentral:rRNA from 1 species
GGCUUUUUGAUGUUAAUUUAAGGUCUAGCCUGCCCAAUGAUAUAUAUUAAAUGGCCGCGGUAUUUUGACCGUGCAAAGGUAGCAUAAUCAUUAGUUUUUUAAUUGAAAGCUUGUAUGAAGGGUUUGAUGAGAAAAGUAUUGUCUCUAUCUUAAUUUUUUAGAAAUUUAUUUUUAAGUUAAAAAGCUUAAAUUUAUAUUAAAGACGAGAAGACCCUAUAGAGUUUUAUAUAUUUUUAUAGUUAUUAUGUUUUAGGAUUUUUUAAUAAUUAUGUUAAAUGUAUUUGGUUGGGGUGAUUUAAAAAUUGGUUUAACUUUUUAAGAUUAAUUUCAUUGAUUUAUGAGUUUUUGAUCCUUGUUAAAAGAUUAAUAGAUAAAAUUACCUUAGGGAUAACAGCGUAAUUUUUUUUAGAGUUCUUAUCGAAAGAAAAGAUUGCGACCUCGAUGUUGGAUUAAGAUUAAUUAUUGGUGUAGAAGCUGAUAUAUUUAGGUCUGUUCGACCUUUAAAUUUUUACAUGAUCUGAGUUUAAACCGGUGUGAG